AAAACAGAAAAUCCCGACAAUCAUAUCAAUAGGAAGCUCAUCGAUGACGUAGAAAAGAAGUAUAUAAAUUCGAAUGUGACGGUCAAAGGGAAAACAUUAUCUGAAUUACAGCAACAGAAAAAAACAAAUGCUCCAGCUACUACAUCUAUACCGAGUGCAACUAAAUCGGUGACGACUGUUCGACCCAAUUCCACAUCCACUUGCAAAACGAACAAGAAUUGCCUACCAGGUUCCUGUUGCCAAAUUCGAAAUGGAAAAGAAAGAGUUU